rnacentral:lncRNA from 1 species
ACUCAACAAUGCCUGCUCCUCUCUGACUGCACCGCCCCGCCGCCGACGCCCAGUAGAGCCCCCGGGGCGGUCCCCACCGACGGCGCAGCCCGCCGGGACCGGGAGAAAGCAGCUGCGGACACCGCGCCCGUGCGUCUGCGCGCCUGGCCGCCAGGUGACCCAGCAGCCCGGCCGCCGAGAUGCCCAACCCGCCCAGGCUCCGGGCGCUGUGACUUCGCGCCGCUGUGUGCGCCUCCCCGAGCGCCGGCUGCGCCCCCCAGCCCGGCCCGGGGCCUACCGCCUGCCCGGCCCCCUGCCACUGCCAGGAGGACGGCAUCAUGCUGUCUGCCGACUGCUCUUGAGCUUGGGCUGUCCGCCAUACCGGGGGACCUGGAUCCCCUGACGGCUUACCUAGCAGUGCCCAGGAUGGUGGCUGAGGGUAAAGCUGACAGAACUGGAGGUGGAGGUGAGGGGAGCGUGCCCCAGUGGGGUGGAAAUAAUGUCUGUUCUUCUGCCAUGGAAGUAGCAGGCCAGAGAGGACUCGAAGAUCCUUAGAAGGAGCCAUAGACGGAACCAUAGGAGGCGCCCAGGAGCUAUGGGCUCCAGAAGUUUCCUCCUAAACUGUGGUCUCAGCGAGGCUCAUUGACACUCACCGGGGUUUCGACAUUCUCCCUGGCUAGGGCCUGUUCUGGAAAUAGACCAAGGGGGAGAUGGAGCCCCUGGCCGUGGGACAUCCAAUCUGAUGGUGAUGAGAAGGCUGCUCAGGACCGAGGCUGAGACGGGCGACCAGGACGGGAUUGUAUGGCUGCAGGAGGCUACACAGUCCCAGGAGGCUGCUUCUAAGAGGCCCACGUGGCCUGCAUGGGGAUGCGCCUGGCUGUCCAGCAUGUGGUCAUUUGAAUUGUACAUGUUUCACUGGGAUGCCUACAGAAAAGUAGACAGAAGAUGUGGAAAAAGUUUUUGAAAUGUUGCAAACUUAGCUACUUUUAAAAUAAAAAAAAUAGCUUUAUAAUUAUAAAAGCAAUAUGUAAAUCUUAAAAUAAUUUGCUACAUUCUAGUAAGCAUCUUAUGAUCUCUAUGUGCCCUAUAACAUUAUGUUGUAUAGUUUAAAUAUAUACAAUAAAAUCUAUUUUAAAAAAUAGCAGGCAAUUAAAUCUCAUUUUAAAAAGAGUCAGUUUAACUCCCUUCUAAUUUCUACCCCUCGUUUUCCCUCUGUGUGUGUGUAUGUGUGUAUGUCAUCUUCGUUAAAUGGCUCAAUGCAUUCCGAAUAUUUUUUCCGUUGUCUUCAUGAUAUAUUCAUGGGAAGGGGAGUAUGUGGCUUAUUGCUGUUAGUUUAUCAAUAGAGAAUGCUGGCCAAAUGUCUUUAAGAGUAAUGACGAUCUCAAUAGCGGUAAUGACAGCUACCACUUUCGGAGCUCCUCCUGCCUACCAGGCACCACUGGGGUCCCUCUCUGCAGCCCCUCACGCCAUCCUCCUAGUCACUUUCUGAGGUGUGUGUGGUCAUCCUCCCAUUUGCAGGAGGGCUCUGAAGCACAGGAAGGUUCGAUACUUACCCCAUGGCCGGGAUAAGAUGGGCCAGGGCCAGGCUGUGAACUAAGGCAGAGAAGGGGCUCUCCAGCACCUUUCCUGAGCCCUUGCCUCCUCUGCCUCUGCCCCAUGGCCAUCUGGUGGGUGGACACAGCUAAGCCAUGGCUAGAACCCAGCAUUCUCAUGACUGCUUUAACCAUAGAAAAUCACAAGUUGCAAGCAACGGGACACACAUUUACUUGUCUACAUUAGCACUUGUGAUGAAGAUAAUUCAUGCUAUUUUUUUCCCCAUUCGGAACGUACCUGUCCUUAGAAUAGUUAGAGAAGUUUUAUGAGGAUUGUGUAACUAGCAUUAACUUAGGUCACCUAAUUCUUGAUCAACCAAAUCGCAGGUCAAACAAAGGAGGCCUAUGCCUUCAUAGAAAGCAUCAGUUAAUGUCCAUUUAAAAACUGAUGCUGGCCGGGCCCGGUGGCUCAUGCCUGUAAUCCCAGCACUUUGGGAGGCCGAGGCGGGUGGAUCACGAGCUCAGGAGAUCGAGACCAUCCUGGCUAACACGGUGAAAACCCAUCUCUAUUAAAAAUACAAAAAUUAGCUGGGCGUGGUGGCACAUGCCUGUAAUCCCAGCUACUUGGGAGGCUGAAGCAGGGAGAAUUGCUUGAACUCUGGAGGUGAAGGUUACAGUGAACCAAGAUCGUGUCAUUUCACUACAGCCUGGGUGACAGAGCGAAAGUCUGUCUCAAAAAAAAAAAACAAACAAACUGAUGUUGCAUCUUCCAGUCUAAAAUAAAAAUACAUUGUUAACCAUUUUUAUGUUUACAAAACCUACAGUUUUAUAGUUCUAAAAGUAGUACAUGUUCAUUACUU